rnacentral:rRNA from 1 species
UACGGGGGGGGUAAGCGUUGUUCGGAAUUACUGGGCGUAAAGGGCUCGUAGGCGGCCAACUAAGUCAUACGUGAAAUCCCUCAGCUUAACUGGGGAACCGCGUGUGAUACUGGAUGGCUUGGAUUUGGGAGAGGGAUGCGGAAUUCCAGGUGUAGCGGUGAAAUGCGCAGAUAUCAGGAGGAACACCGGUGGCGAAGGCGGGUCUCUGGGCCGAUACUGACGCUGAGGAGCGAAAGCGUGGGGAGCGAACAGG